UUCCGGUUGAUCCCGCCGGACCUGACUGCUAUCGGAUUGAUACUAAGCCAUGCGAGUCAUUGUAGCAAUACAAGGCAGACGGCUCAGUAACGCGUAGUCAACCUACCCUAUGGACGGGAAUAACCUCGGGAAACUGAGUAUAAUGCCCGAUAGAACACUAUGCCUGGAAUGGUUUGUGUUCCAAAUGAUUUAUCGCCAUAGGAUGGGACUGCGGCCUAUCAGUUUGUUGGUGAGGUAAUGGCCCACCAAGACUAUUACAGGUACGGGCUCUGAGAGGAGUGGCCCGGAGAUGGGUACUGAGACACGGACCCAGGCCCUAUGGGGCGCAGCAGGCGAGAAAACUUUGCAAUGUGCGAAAGCACGACAAGGUUAAUCCGAGUGGUUUCUGCUAAAGGAACCUUUUGUUAGUCAUAGAACCACUAAUGAAUAAGGGGUGGGCAAGUUCUGGUGUCAGCCGCCGCGGUAAAACCAGCACCUCAAGUGGUCAGGAUGAUUAUUGGGCCUAAAGCAUCCGUAGCCGGCUCUGUAAGUUUUCGGUUAAAUCUGUACGCUCAACGUACAGGCUGCCGGGAAUACUGCAGAGCUAGGGAGUGGGAGAGGUAGACGGUACUCGGUAGGAAGGGGUAAAAUCCUUUGAUCUAUUGAUGACCACCUGUGGCGAAGGCGGUCUACCAGAACACGUCCGACGGUGAGGGAUGAAAGCUGGGGGAGCAAACCGGAUUAGAUACCCGGGUAGUCCCAGCUGUAAACUAUGCAAACUCAGUGAUGCAUUGGCUUGUGGCCAAUGCAGUGCUGCAGGGAAGCCGUU
rnacentral:rRNA from 1 species